rnacentral:rRNA from 1 species
UACGUAGGGUGCGAGCGUUGUCCGGAAUUACUGGGCGUAAAGAGCUCGUAGGUGGUUUGUCGCGUUGUCCGUGAAAACUCACAACUCAAUUGUGGGCGUGCGGGCGAUACGGGCAGACUGGAGUACUGCAGGGGAGACUGGAAUUCCUGGUGUAGCGGUGGAAUGCGCAGAUAUCGGGAAGAACACCCGUGGCGAAGGCGGCUCUCUGGGACGGUACUGACGCUGAGACGCGAAAGCGUGGGGAGCGAACAGG